AGCAGCCAGGCAGCGGGACUGGAGAGUUGGGGUCCCCUUAGGUCAAUUUGUAUCUGAGAAGCACUAUCUCUCCUCCUUUUGCCCUUUUAAUUGGCCUCGACUUCUACUUGGAAGUUCUGCCUAUUUAAAUGUAUCUCCCUUGACCAAAGGACACCAACCUUCCUGUAAGGAGAAGUGAUCUGCCUGUAAUUAGUUAAUCUUCCUGCACCUGUUCACGACAUCAGAAGCUCAUAAAACAAAAGAGUAAAUCAAAAGUUCCUCUAAAAUCUUUACAUCAAAAGGACUUUCCUUUCUUGCCUGUAUCCCUGACAAGGACAACAGGGCAAGGCGCGUAAACACAGUCUGACUUGACUGGAUCUUCAUCUCCACUUGCAGAGUGCCUCCUGCGGAGAAUCUAUUUUGCACUGCUGUGCUGAAGUGCACCAGAGGUGAAACCAGAGCAAGAAUGUGGCCAUCCCCUUCAGCCAAGGGGCAGUGCACCUACCUCUUGCUAGAGGAAUCCUGAAAUGUGUCUUUGGUGACAUGUCUGGCCUCUUCCCCUGGAUUGUAAACCCUGGAGUGGUAACACCUUCAACGGCCCAUGGCAGACACACAACGCUUGAAAGAGAAGGUUUAGGAGAACAGGUCCUACAGAGGUGGGAAGUCAGCUCUGGAGGCCUCUUUCUAGGCCCCUUCAUCUUGGUAACUGCGGCCACAUGGGAGUUCCAGGUUCCUCAAACUUCUCUCCAGAAGUUUCCUGCUCAGAGUGCCAGGAAGCUCCCAUCACCCACAGCCUCUCAAACUGCUAGAACAUGGACCUCUGAGUGAUUCAAGUUGAUGGGCCUGGAGGAGAAAUCGCCUGAAGGGCUUCUGGGAGACCUUUCCCUUCUUAUUAAAAGAAGGAUAUUAGCUGAACCUAUAGGAAUCAUUUCACAACAUAUGUAAAUCAAGCUGUCAUGCUGUGGACCUUCAACUUACACAGUGAUGUAUCAUAAUUAUUUCUCAAUAAAACAGAAAAAAAUUAUAAUUUAGUGGCAGCUGGCCAACUUCUGUACAUGAGCUCAUAAGUGAAGUAAA